rnacentral:rRNA from 1 species
CAGCCGCCGCGGUAAGACGAACCGUGCGAACGUUAUUCGGAAUCACUGGGCUUAAAGCGCGUGUAGGCGGAUGGGAGCGUCGGCCUCUGAAAUCCCCCGGCUCAACCGGGGAAGUGGAGCCGAAACGACCCGUCUGGAGGGACGUAGGGGGACCUGGAACUUCCGGUGGAGCGGUGAAAUGCGUUGAGAUCGGAAGGAACGCCCGUGGCGAAAGCGAGGUCCUGGACGUCUGCUGACGCUGAGACGCGAAAGCCAGGGGAGCGAACGGGAUUAGAUACCCGCGUAGUCCCUGUCUCUUAUA